rnacentral:rRNA from 1 species
CCUACGGGUGGCAGCAGUGAGGAAUAUUGGUCAAUGGGCGAGAGCCUGAACCAGCCAAGUCGCGUGAGGGAGUACUGCCCUAUGGGUUGUAAACCUCUUUUGUCGGGGAGCAAAAGCCGGACGUGUCCGGCUGUGAGAGUACCCGAAGAAAAAGCAUCGGCUAACUCCGUGCCAGCAGCCGCGGUAAUACGGAGGAUGCGAGCGUUAUCCGGAUUUAUUGGGUUUAAAGGGUGCGCAGGCGGAUUUUUAAGUCAGCGGUCAAAUCGUGGGGCUCAACCUCGCUCCGCCGUUGAAACUGGCGUUCUUGAGUGGGCGAGAAGUAUGCGGAAUGCGUGGUGUAGCGGUGAAAUGCAUAGAUAUCACGCAGAACCCCGAUUGCGAAGGCAGCCUGCCAAGCCAUGACUGACGCUGAUGCACGAAAGCGUGGGGAUCAAACAGGAUUAGAUACCCCAGUAGUC